rnacentral:rRNA from 1 species
GAUGAACGCUGGCGGCGUGCCUAAUACAUGCAAGUCGAGCGAACGGACGAUAAGCUUGCUUCUCUGAUGUUAGCGGCGGACGGGUGAGUAACACGUGGAUAACCUACCUAUAAGACUGGGAUAACUUCGGGAAACCGGUGCUAAUACCGGCUAAUAUUUUGUACCGCAUGGUUCAAAAGUGAAAGACGGUCUUGCUGUCACUUAUAGAUGGAUCCGCGCUGCAUUAGCUAGUUGGUAAGGUAACGGCUUACCAAGGCAACGAUGCAUAGCCGACCUGAGAGGGUGAUCGGCCACACUGGAACUGAGACACGGUCCAGACUCCUACGGGAGGCAGCAGUAGGGAAUCUUCCGCAAUGGGCGCAAGCCUGACGCAGCAACGCCGCGUGAGUGAUGAAGGUCUUCGGAUUGUAAAACUCUGUUAUUAGGGAAGAACAUAUGUGGAAGUAACUGCGCACAUCUUGACGGUACCUAAUCAGAAAGCAACGGCUAACUUCGUG